GAUGAACGCUGGCGGCGUGCCUAAUACAUGCAAGUCGAGCGAACUUUUUGGAGCUUGCUCCCCAAAGUGAGCGGCGGACGGGUGAGUCACACGUGGGUAACCUGCCUGUCAGACUGGGACAACUUCGGGAAACCGAAGCUAACACCGGAUAACAUUGAAGACCCCAUGGCCUUCAAUCAAAAGGUGGCUUUUAGCUACCACUUACACAUGGACCCGCGGCGACUUAGCUAGUUGGGGAGGUGACGGCUCACAACUGCGAGGAGGCGUAGCCGACCUCAGAGGGGGAUCGGCCUCGCUGGUACGAGGGCACGGCCCAGACUCCUGCGGGAGGCAGCCGUAGGGGAUCUUCCGCGAAGGACGAAGGGCGGACGAUUCAACGCCGCGUGAGAGAAUAAGGCCGUCGGGUCGUAAGGCUCUUUUAUUAGUGAAGAACAAAAAUCGUUCGAAUAGGGCGGUACCUUGACGGUACCUAACCAGAAAGCCACGGCUAACUUCGUG
rnacentral:rRNA from 1 species